rnacentral:rRNA from 1 species
UACAGAGGUCUCAAGCGUUGUUCGGAUUCAUUGGGCGUAAAGGGUGCGUAGGCGGUCGCGCAAGUCGGAUGUGAAAUCUCAGGGCUCAACCCUGAAACUGCAUUCGAUACUGCGUGGCUAGAGUACUGGAGAGGAGACUGGAAUUUACGGUGUAGCAGUGAAAUGCGUAGAUAUCGUAAGGAAGACCAGUGGCGAAGGCGAGUCUCUGGACAGUAACUGACGCUGAGGCACGAAGGCCAGGGGAGCAAACGGG